AACAUCGCGCACCUGCGGGAACCUGCGGAGGGAUCAUUAACAAAUCAAAUAUGCGAUAGCAAAGAAUGUUGCAAUGCAGUAGCAGCGUCAGCUGUUGCUGCUUUGCACUAUUCUUUGCUGAGCAACAAUAGACUGUGCCGACGCAAGUUGAUACAGUCUAUCAGCAAUCAAAGCAUGACCAUGGUCAUGCAGUGAUUGCAGCAACUAUCUUACUGAUAGUUGUGUACACACGAUAAUAAU
rnacentral:misc_RNA from 1 species